UGGCUCAGUUGGUAGCGCAUGGUGUUUGCAAUGCCAGGGUUGUGGGUUCGAUUCCCAC
rfam:Salmo salar isolate Sally breed double haploid chromosome ssa16, whole genome shotgun sequence.